rnacentral:rRNA from 1 species
UACGUAGGGUGCAAGCGUUGUCCGGAAUUAUUGGGCGUAAAGAGCUCGUAGGCGGUUUGUUGCGUCGGCUGUGAAAUCCCGAGGCUCAGCCUCGGGUCUGCAGUCGAUACGAGCAAACUAGAGUGUUGCAGGGGAGACUGGAAUUCCUGGUGUAGCGGUGAAAUGCGCAGAUAUCAGGAGGAACACCGGUGGCGAAGGCGGCAUCCUGGACCAAUUCUGACGCUGAGGAGCGAAAGCCAGGGGAGCAAACGGG